CCUACGGGUGGCAGCAGUGAGGAAUAUUGGUCAAUGGGCGCGAGCCUGAACCAGCCAAGUAGCGUGAAGGAUGACUGCCCUACGGGUUGUAAACAUCUUUUAUAAAGGAAUAAAGUGAGGCACGUGUGCCUUUUUGUAUGUACUUUAUGAAUAAGGAUCGGCUAACUCCGUGCCAGCAGCCGCGGUAAUACGGAGGGUCCGAGCUUUAUCCGGAUUUAUUGGGUUUAAAGGGCGCGUAGAUGGGUUGUUAAGUCAGUUGUGAAAGUUUGCGGCUCAACCGUAAAAUUGCAAUUGAUACUGGCAGGCUUGAGUACAGUUGAGGGAGGCGGAAUUCGUGGUGUAGCGGUGAAAUGCUUAGAGAUCACGAAGAACUCCGAUGGCGAAGGCAGUUUACUAAACUGCCACUGACACUGAUGCGCGAAAGUGUGGGUAUCAAACAGGAUUAGAUACCCCGGUAGUC
rnacentral:rRNA from 1 species